CCUACGGGCGGCAGCAGUGAGGAAUAUUGGUCAAUGGACGCAAGUCUGAACCAGCCAUGCCGCGUGCAGGAAGACGGCUCUAUGAGUUGUAAACUGCUUUUGUACGAGGGUAAACGCAGAUACGCGUAUCUGUCUGAAAGUAUCGUACGAAUAAGGAUCGGCUAACUCCGUGCCAGCAGCCGCGGUAAUACGGAGGAUUCAAGCGUUAUCCGGAUUUAUUGGGUUUAAAGGGUGCGUAGGCGGUCGGAUAAGUUUGAGGUGAAAUCCCGAGGCUCAACUUCGGAAUUGCCUCUGAUACUGGUCGGCUAGAGAGUAGUUGCGGUAGGCGGAAUGUAAGGUGUAGCGGUGAAAUGCUUAGAGAUCAUACAGAACACCGAUUGCGAAGGCAGCUCACCAAGCUACUUCUGACGCUGAGGCACGAAAGCGUGGGUAGCAAACAGGAUUAGAUACCCGUGUAGUC
rnacentral:rRNA from 1 species